rnacentral:rRNA from 1 species
GACGAACGCUGGCGGCGUGCUUAACACAUGCAAGUCGAACGGAAAGGCCCUGCUUUUGUGGGGUGCUCGAGUGGCGAACGGGUGAGUAACACGUGAGUAACCUGCCCUUGACUUUGGGAUAACUUCAGGAAACUGGGCUAAUACCGGAUAGGAGCUCCUGCUGCCUGGUGGGGGUUGGAAAGUUUCGGCGGUUGGGGCUGGACUCGCGGCUUAUCGGCUUGUUGGUGGGGUAGUGGCUUACCAAGGCUUUGACGGGUAGCCGGCCUGAGAGGGUAACCGGCCACAUUGGGACUGAGAUACGGCCCAGACUCGUACGGGAGGCAGCAGUGGGGAAUAUUGCACAAUGGGCGGAAGCCUGAUGCAGCAACGCCGCGUGCGGGAUGACGGCCUUCGGGUUGUAAACCGCUUUCGCCUGUGACGAAGCGUGAGUGACGGUAAUGGGUAAAGAAGCACCGGCUAACUACGUG